AGACAGGAGACUGUGUGUCGGCUUGUUUUUCGCUAGCGCCGGAGGCUAACUAGCUCGCUAACAAGCAAGCUAACAAUAUCUUCGCAUGGGUGCAGUAACUCUUCUUCGAUUCGAUUGGGCUUAUUACCGACAAACACCGACAUGAAACGACAUGAGCGGGUCCACCCAGCAGAUAUAAGCGUUACUUUAUGCGGAUGACUCUGAGACAGGAGACUGUGUGUCGGCUUGUAAGUUAGUUUCGCUAGCGGGCUAGCGAUGCUAACUGAAACCUGAGAAACCUGAGUGUUUAAAGUCACAUCUGCAUUGCAAGAGCAGCUGUUCAAAGGAGCAUUACGUGUCCUAAAGCUCUUUCUUCAGAGUAGUGUUGUAACGUGUUACAGUGAAAAGUAACCGUGUCUCCCACCUUCAGUAUUUAAAUCGUUAAUCUCAGACAGACUUCACUGAAUUCUUUUGUUAAAUAUGAGUAAAUCAUAGCCUUGUAACUUUACUAGAACAGACAGUGUCAUACAGAAUUGUAGGCUAAUAUGCACUACCUAUUUCCUAAGCUGAAAUGAUUAUGAUCUGAUUAACUUUGAAUUAAUAUUUUAUUAUUACCAUGUAAAAGUCUGUUAAGCAGAUAACAUGGCACAUGUAUGACUUAACAUAUCUGUGUAUUUGUGUUCAAUGUUCCUCUAGGAUGUCCAGCGUGAGACACAACUUGAAUCCAACCAGACUGAACACUGACUCCAGGGACAGACGAGCCUGAAGGACACAGCUGUGAUGACCAUGUUCUGUCUCUUAUGACAAAGCAGAAAUAUAAAACACUGGGUUCUUAUCUAAAGUGUAUCAAAUCAGAUCUCCACCAUGUUGCUGCUGAGGACAUCAGGUGCUGCAGUUCUUCAUCUAUGAAGAUGAAAAAACUCACUGUUAAAGAAUGUUUUGUGUUGUGUAUGAAGCACAACAGAUUUCAGAUAGAACCGUUGUACUGUGGUCUUGGUUUGUAUCCUCAUGGUUAAAUGUACAUAUUUUACGUCCCUUCUGAUAAAAGUACUGAAAGAAAUACAACAUUGUAUAAAUAGAUAAAAUGUCUUUCUACCUCAUCAGUAAUAUUCAAGGUGAUAAUCUCCCACAGAGCUAUUGAUAGAAGUCCACAUCAAGUCUCUCGACUUCUCUCAGUGUGAAAACAUAAUUAUAUCAUUAAUUUGAGAACUGUUUACAACACUGAUGUUUGGAGAUUAAAAUCAUAUCUAAACUGUCUAAUUCACUGUAAAACUCCAUGACAUUCGCAGGCCAUCUGUACUUAAAAGACGAACCUGGAUUGAUCUGUCCAAAAAUCCAAAAGUCUCCCUACCCUCUCUAGUGCCCCUGAGCAAGGCACCUCACUCCCCCAACAUCUGCUCCGUGAGCGCCGUACAUGGUCGCUGACUGCUCUGUGUGUCCUGCACCAGAUGUUGUCUUCCAGUUGACCAGCAUGACGCUGCAGAUCUCCACCAUGUUGCUGCUGAGGACAUCAGGAGCUGCAUUAAUGAGGAGCAGAAGCGCACUGUUAUGAAUGUUUUGUGUUGUGUAUGAAGCACCACAUAUUUCAGAUAGAACCAAUGUACUGGGGUCUGGGUUUGUAUCCUAAUGGUUAAAUGCACAUACUUUAAAUCGCUUUUGAUAAAACGUGAGAAAGAAAUACAACAUUAUACACAUAGAUAAAAUGUCUUUCUACCUCAUCUGUAAUAUUCAAGGUGAUGAUCUCCCACAGAGCUGUUGAUAACAGUCCACAUCAAGUCUCUCCACUUCCCUCAGUGUGAAAACAUAAUUAUAUAAUUAACUGGAGAAGUGUUUACAACACUGAUGUGUGGACAUUAUAAUCUUAUCUAUACUGUCUAAUUGACUCUACAACUCCAUGACAGACUAAAUUAACAAUGUGAAAAUAGUAAUGGUGAAUAUAUCAGCCUGUAUCAGAAUAAUGGUGAAACAGUUAUUAUCACAUGCAACGUACACGUGUAGCGUAUUGAUAGUCACUUAUUAAAAAAAUAAAUAAAGUCACAACCAAAACAA